GCAGGCGGUUUUUUAAGUCUGAAUGUGAAAGCCCCCGGCUUAACCGGGGAGGGUCAUUGGAAACUGGGGAACUUGAGUGCAGAAGAGGAGAGUGGAAUUCCACGUGUAGCGGUGAAAUGCGUAGAGAUGUGGAGGAACACCAGUGGCGAAGGCGACUCUCUGGUCUGUAACUGACGCUGAGGAGCGAAAGCGUGGGGAGCGAACAGGAUUAGAUACCCUGGUAGUCCACGCCGUAAACGAUGAGUGCUAAGUGUUAGGGGGUUUCCGCCCCUUAGUGCUGCAGCUAACGCAUUAAGCACUCCGCCUGGGGAGUACGGUCGCAAGACUGAAACUCAAAGGAAUUGACGGGGGCCCGCACAAGCGGUGGAGCAUGUGGUUUAAUUCGAAGCAACGCGAAGAACCUUACCAGGUCUUGACAUCCUCUGACAAUCCUAGAGAUAGGACGUCCCCUUCGGGGGCAGAGUGACAGGUGGUGCAUGGUUGUCGUCAGCUCGUGUCGUGAGAUGUUGGGUUAAGUCCCGCAACGAGCGCAACCCUUGAUCUUAGUUGCCAGCAUUCAGUUGGGCACUCUAAGGUGACUGCCGGUGACAAACCGGAGGAAGGUGGGGAUGACGUCAAAUCAUCAUGCCCCUUAUGACCUGGGCUACACACGUGCUACAAUGGACAGAACAAAGGGCAGCGAAACCGCGAGGUUAAGCCAAUCCCACAAAUCUGUUCUCAGUUCGGAUCGCAGUCUGCCACUCGACUGCGUGAAGCUGGAAUCGCUAGUAAUCGCGGAUC
rnacentral:rRNA from 1 species